GGCAAUCCCCUAAUGUUCCCUUCCACCUUGUGGAAGUUUUGUUCUUUCGCUCUUUGCAAUAAAUCCCAUUGUUGCUCGCUCUUUGGGGUCUCACUGUCUGUGCGAGCUGUAAUACUCGCCGCAAAGGUGUCUGGCUUCACUUCCGAGACCAGCGAGACCCCGAACCCACCGGGAGGAAUGAACAACUCCGGAUGGGAGGGACAAACAACACCAGACGCACCGCCUUAAGAGUCCUAACGCUCACCGCGGAGGUCUGCGGCUUCACUCUUGAAUGAAGCCAGCGAGAUCACAAACCCACCAGAAGGAAGGAACUCUGAACACAUCCGAAAAUCAGAAGGAACAAACUCCGGACACACUACCUUUAAGAACUGUAACACUCAAAUCGCGAGGGUCCACGGCUUCGUUCUUGAAGUCAGUGAGACCAAGAACCCACAAAUUCCGGACACUUCCCCACACAGAGGGAACUGGCCUAACACUCUGGUGGUGCCAAUAGGAUGUACUGACAGAUCAGAAGUGGUCGUGAGAGAAGGAGCAAGUAGCCAGAAGAGUGAAGUGUGCACUGGCUGAGAUGUGGGAGCAGGUGUUGUUGGUUUCCCCGGAGUAAGUUACCUUGAGUGAGUUAAGGUUAAGAUAUCCCAGGGGUGAGGUUGAGCAGGCAGUUGUGUAUGUGACCCUGGGGAAAGUCUAGCUGAAGAUACAAAGAUGGGAUGAGAUCACCAAGGAGUAAGUGUCUUUAGCAAAGAGAAGAGACCAAGGACUGAAUCUGGAUACCUCAACAUUUGGAGUCAGAGCCUGAAAAGGAUCCCUCAAAAGUGCCCAAGAAGCAGCAGAAUGAGGAAAGACAGCCCAGGGAGUGUGGCACAGCUGCUCCUCACCACUUCAGGCUCCCCUGGAGUCCAAUGCACUGGGGCCUCAUUCCUGGGUAUUAUAAUUGCCUCCUAAGUGGCCUCUGGCUUAUGUCUCCUACCCCAGUUGAUGUUCAUCACAUCAGCCAGAGUGGCUCUGUUAACACCCAAGCCAGUUCCUGCCCAUCUGCUGAGAAUCUUCAAGGGCUUUCACCUCACUCUGAGUCGAAGCCAAUAUCUUCACAAUGGCCUGGCCCUUUGCCAACUGCUGUGGUUUAAAUGUUUGUACCCUUCAAAACUUAGGUUGAAAUUUGCUUGGCAACAUGGUGGUGGCAGGAGGUGGAACCUUUGGGAUGUGAUAGGGCCAAGGGCUCUGCCCUCAGGGGUAGGAUUAAUGCUGUUACAAAAGAGCAAGUUUGACUUUCUUUUGCCUCUUUGCCCUUCUACCUUCCUUCCUGGGAGGAUGCAGCAAGAAGGCCCUCGCCAGAUAUCAAGGCCUUAAGCUUGGACUUCCCAGCCUCCAGAACUCAAGUUGCCACACUGUGAGUUGCUUAUGAAGAAGGCCGUAUCACAAAAACUGAGGACAGACUCUCGUCAACAGCCAGCAACUGAGGCCUUUUGUCCAAGAACAUGCAAGAAACUGAAUGCUGCUAACAACUAUGUUAACUUAGAAGUGAGUCCUUUCCCAAUCAAGCCUUCAGAUGAGACCCCAGCCCAAGUUGACAUCUUGAAUGCUGCCUUGAAGAGUGCCUGGACAGCAGACCCACAGAGACGGUGGAAUAAUAAAUGUCUUAUGUAUCAACAAAAUCACACCAGACCACCCAAAGCUGGCCCUGCCAACUGACCACACACACCCCUGCCUGAAAGGCAUGUUUCAAUGUGCAACAGACGCCUGCCACUCAGGGGACAUCAAAUGUUCAUGAGAACUCGCUAACCUCGAAACAGGUGACUGUCAAGACUGGCUGAGGAUUGAAACUCUGGGGAAAUUUGCUAGAAUAUGUGUGGAUUGCUGGGCCAGCUUCCCGAUGGGCUGAUCUUUAGGUGCCGGGCUGGGGAUGCGCAUUCUCAGCACUGCUGCUGGGUGGUUCUGUGAAGUAGACCCUUGGUAACCACUGCAUUAGACCACCUAGGUCUCUGCCACUUCCACACUGUGGACACUUCGAUGGAUCAUUCUUUGUGGUGGGCACUGUCCAGUGCAUUGCUGGAUAUUCAGCAGCAUUCCUGAACUCUUCUUGCCAGAUACCAGUAGCACCCUUCCUGUCCCCUCCCAUGUCACCAUAUGACAACCCAAAAGAUCUCCAGACGUUGCCACAUGUUCCCAGGCAGCAAACUCCCUUCCAUGGUAACUACUGUCCUAGGCUGUUUACAAGGUUAUUAGUGAUGGUGACAGCCAUAAUGAGGAACCAGGCUCUGUGCCGAGCACUCACUGCAUCUCAUUCUGUGUAAUCCUCAUGGUCAUAUUCUUAGGCAAUCUUUUCAUCAUUGUUUAUAAAACUCAGAGAAUUUAAACAGCUUUCCCAAGGUCAUGGGUAAUCAGUGGCCACAGCUUGAUGCCUACCUCUGUUUGACUCCAAAGUGGACUCAGGGGUCAGAUAGAUCCAGAGGGUGACAGAAACCUCAUCCUGGAGACUGGGGGUUCUUCCAAGGCUUGUUCUUGUCACUUUUUUUUUUUUUUUUUUUGAGAUGGAGUCUUGCUCUGUUGCCCAGGCUGGAGUGCAGUGGCGCGAUCUCAGCUCACUGCAAGCUCCGCCUCCCAGGUUCACGCCUCCCAGGUUCACGCCUCCCGAGUAGCUGGGACUACAGGUGCCUGCCACCAUACCUGGCUAAUUUUUUGUAUUUUCAGUAGGGACGGGUUUUCGCCAUGUUGGCCAGGAUAGUCUCGAUCUCCUGAACUCGUGAUCCGCCCUCCUCCGCCUCCCAAAGUGCUGGGAUUACAGGCGUGAGCCACCGCACCGGGCCUCUUGUCACUAUUUAACAAAGCAUAAUGGCUCCUCUCUGCCUACUCUACCAGAUCCAUGCUCUUUAGCCUGCCAGGCCAGGCUGUCCCUACCUCACAUCCCCUGAUCAGCUACAUUAUAAUCUAAGGCCUAUCUCCUCUUUAACCCUGAACGUACCUUGCUCAUUUUCACUGUAGGGCUGUUUCUUUCAUUCAGGGGUCUCAAACUCAAAUGUCUAUAGGGGCCUAGAGGGUAAAUUAACAAACAAAGUGGGCUCAGUGCAAGAUGAUAAAUGGCAAUGGAUCUUUCAGCCUCAUUUGGAGAGACCUUGGGAAUGGUGAGGACUGUGACCUCAGUGGAGCACCUACUUUACUGAGACAGGGCAGCUGCUUCUCCAUCUUGCCCUGUGCUAGUCUUGCUGGAUAUUUUAUUUUUCAAGAAAUAAAAUAUGGAAUGUGGAAU
rnacentral:lncRNA from 1 species